UGUUGUUACAAAGAGAAUUUCGCCAUGCUGAAGCGUAAAGAUGACAAAUCUACUGCAGUUGUCAUUGGAAACCCCGCUCCGCAGAUUUUGAGGUUGUAAGAAGCAGUCUCAUGGCUGGAAUACUGAAAACAGCCGCCCACAAUAAAGAUCAUCCGAAACCUAUCAAGAUAUUUGAAGUAGGCAAUGUAACUGUAUUUGAUGAGUUGAAAGAUGUUGGGUCCACAAAUCAUCGCCAACUGGCAGCUCUUUACUGUGGCGCUACUUCUGGGGU